AGCUUCAGUAGCGUAUAUUAAAGUUGUUGCAGUUAAAAAGCUCGUAGUCGCAUUUCUGGCGAGAGGAUCCGGUCCGACCUUUUGGUGGGUUCUUGGGUCUCUUUCGCCAUCCUUGAGUGGUCCGUUCUGGCAUUAGGUUGUCGGAGCGUCAGCCGCUCAUCGUUUACUGUGAGAAAAUUAGAGUGUUCAAAGCAGGCUUAUGCCGUUGAAUAUAUUAGCAUGGAAUAAUAAGAUAGGACCUCGGUACUAUUUUGUUUGUUUGCGCACCAAGUUAAUGAUGAACAGGGACAGUUGGGGGUAUUUGUAUUUCGUUGUCAGAGGUGAAAUUCUUAGAUUUACGAAAGACAAACUACUGCGAAAGCAUUUACCAAGGAUGUUUUCA
rnacentral:rRNA from 1 species